CCCCCCCCCCCCGGACCAAGAAUACAGAGCAUCACCUGCCCCAGACAGAGAAGUUCCAACAAUACACUGUGGCUAAUAGCCACUGAUGGACCUCUGCUCCAUAUAUUUAUCCAAUCCCCUCUUGAAGCUGUCCAUGCUUGUAGCUGCCACCACCUCCUGUGGCAGUGAAUUCCAUGUGCUAAUCACCCUUUGAGUGAAGAAGUACUUUCUUUUA